rnacentral:lncRNA from 1 species
GGGGUGCUCCACUGAAGGAGACUACUGUGACACCUUGCGAGCAAGCAGGCUUCCUUUCUGAGGUUGCACCGAGCCAGCCCUAGGUACACGUCCGUUUAUACAAACACUUGUGUAUCCCUUGUUCACACGGUCGUGCACGCUGCUCUUUUUCCUCUCCGUGUAUCCGGAAGAUGGUUCCGAAUCAACUGGAUAGGAUUUUUAAUUUCCGAAGGCACGAGCUCCCCUGGCAUCCGCAAAUGUGACCCGCAAUUUAGAGAGGAAGAGGAGCGCAGACCCUACCUGUCCGGAGUAACGGUCAGGAGAGAGGUGGGGAAGGGCUGGGCCCCUCUCGGUGUCCCGGGUUCCCGGCAGAAGUCUCCAGGGCUGAGGGAGUCUGCAGACACGGAGUUUCCGUGCCAGAGGAGCGGGUCCACGCGGACAGGCAGUUCCAGCUCCGGGACAUACUUUAUUCAGCUGGGUGCUGAAAAAGAAUCUUGGAAAUUAGGAAACUGAAUGAGGCCUCAUUUCACACUCAGAAUGUGGGUUGCAAUAGUCACUUCCUCUGCUGCUGGGAAAGAAAGAAUUAUACUACCUUUUGAAUUUUGGAUUAAGGAGAGAGGUGUUGGCUUGUCAAACUACCAUGUAUUCCUCAAGACAUAUUUUUGUGGCUUUAUAAAAUUCAAUAUAUAUGUCUAAAUUCAAAAAUAUUUUGUUGCAAUCUGGCCCUUGGACAAACUGAGGCCCUAGCAACUGAUGUUUAUGGCUUUCCGUAGAACCUUUCAGAUAAAAUUUACACAGCAUUUUACUGCAGCUAUUUCACACAAAGCAGAGGAUUUUGCCACAAAACUGAAAGAAAAAAGAAACUGCAUUCUUAAAUUUUUCAUAAAUCAAAAGGUAUAAAAAUAUCUACCUAAACGAUAAAGGAGAUGAGAAACCCCACCCAUGAUGGGAAGAAAGCCUAUUUCAGUUUUGCCUUUACUUCAAGUUCUUUUUUCCAUAUCUGGAAUGCAAUCAGAAUUUUAAUCUUGCCUUGGGUUCCUCCUGGAUUUGGGGAGAAGACAAAACCUGAAAAUCUCUAAUCUGCAUGUGUUCAGCUGCGUAUCUUCUGGAUACGGAAGGAUCACACUGCACAGAGUGCUGGACUUGCAGGAGCCCCGCUUCUCAACCUCCAUCGCUUUAUGAAUGAAUUCACCAGAAAGAAAAGGAAGAAUCAACACUUUCAGAGAUGGAGCCUGUUGAGCCACAGUACCAACUAGUCAAUGCUGAAUCGACUUCUCCCUUUCUACAUUGCCUGAGAGAAGUCAUUGGGGAAUACUCUGUACACGAAUUUUCACUGUUGGGGAAAACAGAGAGUCAAGGGAUUGGAUUGUGGAUUGCAUUGGUGGUUUUCCUCAGUUUCCUCAUCUUCUCCACAAGUUUCUACAUAUCGAAUGCAGAGCAGCCCUUCUUCAAAGGACCUCCUACGGAAGCUGCUAAGGAACUCAGUCUGUAGCUCUGCGUGGAGCCAUGUGUAAACACUGAACUGAGACCUGCCACCUCCUACUACCUAAGGGCCCAUUUUCAUCUGAUAUCAUCCCCCAGAAACAAACUCAUGAUGACUUCCAUGUUUUUUUUAGAUUAGAUACAUGGAGAAUUUUCCUUUCCCUUAGAAUUAAAAUCCUGCAUUCUAAUUUUCAGGUAAAACUUUUUCGUCUCUACAGAACUCUCUCCAAGUGCACACCCAUAGAUUGGUUUGCUUGUGGAAUCCUAGCAUAUCAGAAAUGAAGGAAUCUCAGAAAUUGUUUUCAUCAAACACCUCAUAUGCAGAAGGCAAAAUGAAGGUUCAGAGCAGAAAUGAUUUGUCCAAGGAUGCAACACUCAUCUGCAGCAGAGGGAAGCUGAGCUCUGCAGACCCACCUAGCACUGCAGAGGCAGCCCUCUAGGACAAGGCUUCAUAAAAAAGUGACUUUAUGAGUUGGCUCCAUAAAAAAGAUACAGAUUAAGAAAUUGUUUAAACAGUGAUCUCUAUAUAAUUACUCUUUUAUUUAAAAGUAUGGGCUGGGAGCGGUGGCUGACGCCUGUAAUCCCAGCACUUUGGGAGGCCGAUGUGAGCAGAUAACCUGAGGUCGGGAGUUAGAGACCAGCCUGACCAACAUGGAGAAACUCCGUCUCUACUAAAAAUACAAAAUUAGCAGGGUGUGGUGGUGCAUGCCUGUAAUCCCAGCUACUCGGGAGGCUGAGGCAGGAGAACUGCUUGAACCCAGGAGGCAGAGGUUGUGGUGAGCCGAGAUCGCGCCAUUGCACUCCAGCCUGGGCAACAAGAGCGAAACUCUGUCUCAAAAUAAAUAAAUAAAUAAGUAUUCCUUUCCCAGUCUUUUGCUGUGUGGAGCCAAGAUUUUUAUUUGCAGAAGUCUGCAGGGCUGGUGUGAUCUCUUUCAG